rnacentral:rRNA from 1 species
AUACCGCAGCUAGGAAUAAUGGAAUAGGACCGCGGUUCUAUUUUGUUGGUUUUCGGAACUGAGGCCAUGAUUAAGAGGGACGGCCGGGGGCAUUCGUAUUGCGCCGCUAGAGGUGAAAUUCUUGGACCGGCGCAAGACGGACCAGAGCGAAAGCAUUUGCCAAGAAUGUUUUCAUUAAUCAAGAACGAAAGUUAGAGGUUCGA